CAGAUGAGACGACAGAGAUUCACCAGGGUCAGGAGACUCGUCCAAGGAUGACGUAAAUCAAAGAGUGUUACCAACUCAUUUUGCAAACAGCAGGCCUCCGGGACACCUGCUGUGACAUCGCAGACAAGGCCAGCUACCCUGGAGGCUUGCGGCUGCAGACCUCUGACCUGAAGAGGAGGUCUGGAUAGAAAGUAAAGCUUCUCAAGAGGCCAGAGCAUAUAUAAAAGUCUUGCUUUGCUGAAUAUGUGCUUUGCUGCUUUGAAAGCAAGUCUGGCAGUUCUUUAGAAGGUUAAACAUGGGAGUUAUCAUAUGGCCCAGCAAUUCCACUCAUAGAUAGAUUGAUGAUAGAUAGAUGAUAGAUUUAGAUUGAUAGAUUGAUAGAUCUUUGUAUCUAUACAAACACACACACAUAUAUGAGAAAUAAAAGUGUACCUGCACAGAAACAUGUAUACCAAUAUACAUAGCAGCAAUAUUCAUAAGAGCCAAAAAAGUGGAAACAAUUCAAUGUCCCUCAGCAGGUGAAUGGAUAAAUAAAAUGUGGUCUAAGCAUUCCGUGGGAUGCCGUUCUUCCCUGAAAGGAAGGGGGUACCGACACAUGCACAAUUUGGGUGAAUAGACAACACUAAGUGAGAGAAGCCAGGAACAAGAUGCCACGUAUUGUCUGAUUCUACUCACGUGAAAUAUGCAGAAGACGUGCAUCCACAGAGGCGGAGAGAAGCUGGUGAUGGCCAGGCCGGGGGGCGGGCGCUCCCCGGUCGGCCCUUUUGGGGCGAUGAAAACAUUCUGGUUCCGUGGUGACGGCUGCACAGCUCUGCGGAUCCGCUGUAGGAACAGGGACGUGUGUCU